GAUGAACGCUGGCGGCGUGCCUAAUACAUGCAAGUCGAGCGAACAGACGAGGAGCUUGCUCCUCUGACGUUAGCGGCGGACGGGUGAGUAACACGUGGAUAACCUACCUAUAAGACUGGGAUAACUUCGGGAAACCGGAGCUAAUACCGGAUAACAUGUUGAACCGCAUGGUUCAACAGUGAAAGACGGUCUUGCUGUCACUUAUAGAUGGAUCCGCGCCGCAUUAGCUAGUUGGUAAGGUAACGGCUUACCAAGGCAACGAUGCGUAGCCGACCUGAGAGGUGGAUCGGCCACACUGGAACUGAGACACGGUCCAGACUCCUACGGGAGGCAGCAGUAGGGAAUCUUCCGCAAUGGGCGAAAGCCUGACGGAGCAACGCCGCGUGAGUGAAGAAGGUCUUCGGAUCGUAAAACUCUGUUAUUAGGGAAGAACAAAUGUGUAAGUAACUAUGCACGUCUUGACGGUACCUAAUCAGAAAGCCACGGCUAACUACGU
rnacentral:rRNA from 1 species